rnacentral:misc_RNA from 1 species
CUGCCCUCAAGCACGGCUUGUGUGUUCGGGCCCCGUCCUCCGCGUCCCGGGGGACGGGCCCGAAAGGCAGCGGCGGCACCGCGUCCGGUCCUCGAGCGUAGUGGGGCUUUGUCACCCGCUCUGUACGGCCCGGCCGGCGCUUGCCGAUCAACCUAAACUUUUAUCCAGG